GUGAGGAAUAUUGGUCAAUGGGCGAGAGCCUGAACCAGCCAAGUCGCGUGAAGGAAGAAGGUUCUAUGGUUCGUAAACUUCUUUUGCAGGGGAAUAAAGUGCAGGACGUGUCCUGUUUUGUAUGUACCCUGAGAAUAAGGAUCGGCUAACUCCGUGCCAGCAGCCGCGGUAAUACGGAGGAUCCGAGCGUUAUCCGGAUUUAUUGGGUUUAAAGGGUGCGUAGGUGGUUUGAUAAGUCAGCGGUGAAAGUUUGCAGCUUAACUGUAAAAAUGCCGUUGAAACUGUCGGACUUGAGUGUAAAUGAGGUAGGCGGAAUGCGUGGUGUAGCGGUGAAAUGCAUAGAUAUCACGCAGAACUCCGAUUGCGAAGGCAGCUUACUAAACCACUACUGACGCUCAUGCACGAAGGCGUGGGGAUCAAACAGGAUUAGAAACCCCUGUAGUCC
rnacentral:rRNA from 1 species